UACGUAGGGCGCAAGCGUUGUCCGGAAUUAUUGGGCGUAAAGAGCUCGUAGGCGGUUUGUCACGUCGGAUGUGAAAGCCCGGGGCUUAACCCCGGGUCUGCAUUCGAUACGGGCAGACUAGAGUGUGGUAGGGGAGAUCGGAAUUCCUGGUGUAGCGGUGAAAUGCGCAGAUAUCAGGAGGAACACCGGUGGCGAAGGCGGGUCUCUGGGCAGUAACUGACGCUGAGGAGCGAAAGCAUGGGGAGCGAACAGG
rnacentral:rRNA from 1 species